CGUGGCUCCAGAAACUGCUCCGAAACACUCCUUAGGACUCGCCAGAGAGGCCGGACAUUGCGUCGACGAUCACCUUCCCUUUUGGACGUUUGUGUGCACGCUAUCAUCUGCCGCCGCUUCAGACGGCUUUGAGAAUUUGACCUGUCCGUAGUCCACCCCCUCCUCCUCCACCUUCUGCUCCACUCGCCUCCUCCUCUGCUGCACGACCCUGACAUGGCUGUAGGUCAUCAGCUCGCGGUCAUCGUCCUCCGCUGCAGAGAAGAGGAACAGGCGACACAAACAGAUGACAACUACGAAAAAUACAAGUGCUGAGACGACACCGACUAUAAGUAGCCACUGUUCUGUUUCAAAAUUAAAGAAAGGGGAAAAAUGAAUUUUAACUUAGCAAACUCUGUGUAUGAUUUUAUGAUGAGAAAAAAAACUGAUAAAUUCACUGCUUCAUAUUAAGUUUUCACCUACUGAUGUAUUUGUGUUUUAGCACUGGGGUUUGUGUAACUCAGUCUCCUUACCCACAGUACUGUGUGGAGCUGUUGUAGGUGUUAUUGUAGGUUCAACACACAGAGUGUUGUUGGCUUUAAACACCCACUCAGAUAUGCGUGUCCCAUUGGAAGAGCAGUCAAUGAAAAUAAAAC